GACGUAGGGCGCGAGCGUUUGUCCGGAUUUAUUGGGCGUAAAGAGCUCGUAGGCGGCUUGUUGCGUCAGCUGUGAAAACCCGACAGCUCAACUGUGGGCUUGCAGCUGAUACGGGCAGGCUUGAGUUCGGUAGGGGAGACUGGAAUUCCUGGUGUAGCGGUGAAAUGCGCAGAUAUCAGGGAGGAACACCGGUGGGCGAAGGCGGAUCUGCUGGGCCGAUACUGACGCU
rnacentral:rRNA from 1 species